AAGUAAAAGUCGUAACAAGGUUUCCGUAGGUGAACCUGCGGAAGGAUCAUUACCGCUUGCCCGACGGCACGCCCCCUUCCCGGGGGUGCGCCGCGGCAUUGCACAACCCUUGCCUAUGUUUACCGUUCGUUACUCCCUCGGCGGGCCACAUCCCGCCGGAGGGCACCAAACCAAACCCUUUUUAUUAGCAUCGAAAUCUCUGAAACAAACAAAAACUAUCACAACUUUCAACAAUGGAUCUCUUGGUUCUGGCAUCGAUGAAGAACGCAGCGAAAUGCGAUAAGUAGUGUGAAUUGCAGACUUUAGUGAAUCAUCGAAUCUUUGAACGCACAUUGCGCCCCUUGGUAUUCCAUUGGGCAUGCCUGUUCGAGCGUCAUUUACACCCUCAAGCUCCGCUUGGUGUUGGGCGUCUGUCCCCGCUACGCGCGUGGACUCGCCCCAAAAGCAUUGGCAGCGGCUUCGCCGGCUUCUUGCGCAGCACUCAGCGCUCCACGAGGCUUCCGGCGGGCCCGCGUCCACCAAGAACCCCCCACGUUUGACCUCGAAUCAGGUAGGGAUACCCGCUGAACUUAAGCAUAUCAAUAA
rnacentral:misc_RNA from 1 species